rnacentral:lncRNA from 1 species
AAUAUCUUGGAAAACAGACUUUGUGUGUCUCAGCCCCAAUGGUGAGCUCCAGAGAGAUGGCACACGGCGGUGCAUCAGUUUCAAAGGGGCAAAGAAAAGCAAGACGAGGGUUUCCAGGAAGCUGCCAUACAGCCUGAGUGCUUCGAGCAUUCUGUCCAAGUUGUUUUCCAUGAAAGAGCAUCUUGAAGAAGCUGGUUAGAAGCAAGCAUGAGUUUCUUUGGUUUGGAGGAAGGAUUUCUGGCAGAAGUGACAAGCGAUCACCAGGACUGCUUACAGAACAGGUAAGCCUCCCGUGGAGGUUCUCGAAAGUUACUUGGGGAGAGGAAUCUAAAAUUAAAAAGGGUAUUUUGACAUAUGGAAACUUGGAGAAAUUGCAUAUUGUAUACUAAAGGAAAUGUUCCCCUUUUACAAAUACCAUGGUAACACAUCGAAAGGACAUCCAACCCAGCUUUAGGGAGAUUAGAAAAGGCUUCCUAAAAGAGGUAGCAUCUGAAAGAAACCCUAAGUGGGGGGCAGAUGAUUG